AACGCGAAGAACCUUACCAGGGUUUGACAUGCGCCCUGAGCAGCCAGAGAUGGUUGGACCCGCAAGGGAGGGGAGCACAGGUGCUGCAUGGCUGUCGUCAGCUCGUGCCGUGAGGUGUUGGGUUAAGUCCCGCAACGAGCGCAACCCCCAUCGGCGGUUGUAGGUUUCCGCCGAGACUGCCACGAUGAACGUGGAGGAAGGUGGGGAUGACGUCAAGUCAGCACGGCCCUUACAUCCUGGGCGACACACACGCUACAAUGGCUGGCACAACGGGACGCCAACCCGCGAGGGGGAGCCAAUCCCAGCAAAACCAGUCUCAGUUCAGAUUGCAGGCUGCAACUCGCCUGCAUGAAGUCGGAGUUGCUAGUAACCGUGGGUCAGCACACCACGGUGAAUACGUUCCCGGGCCUUGUACACACCGUAGUAC
rnacentral:rRNA from 1 species